CGCCUUUGCGCCUGACGUCACCGCGCAGUAAUGAAGCUCCAGGCACUGGCCCCGCCCCUUCGCGUAGUCAGCACAGCACAGCACAGCACAGCACAGCACAGGAGAGGGUGGUUUUAAAUUGGAAGAUUUUAUACCGUUUCUAGACUAAUAAUUGCGUGUAAACAAUCCUGAAACAGACGGACGUCGAGUGGAAAGAUAGAAUAAGCUAAGCCUCUUCCGCCCCGUGGAAGUUGUGGCCAUGCUGACGGAGAGACCCAGGAAAGCCGUGUGGUAGAGACUGGACUGUGAGGCAGCGAGCUGGGGGACUGUCCGGAGCACAGUGCACCACCGAGUGGAGGAAUCGCACUGGAAGAGGAGCAGCGAGAGUAACGGUCACAGGAAAGGCACUUGAGAUAAGAAAUAUCUUCCCCUUGAACGGGCUGCACAAACCCGGCACGGCUCAGCUGAUCUCUUUCAAAUCUGUGCCUCCAAGCUCCAGCGUUCCCUCCUCUAUUCUCUGUCUCUGAUCUGCGAUGGUUAGAAGCUCAUCGCUGAUGGUGGGACAGUAGUGUUCAAACUCGAGUGGAGAGCCUCGUGUUUUUUGGGGUAUGCGCAUCUCCACCAGGCGGGUUGCCGUGGCGGCAGGCUGCGUGGCCAGCAUGCUGCUGAUGGCGCACGUAUGCCAGCAGGUGCUGGAGUGCCAGCGGGAGGAGGCGUACAGGAAGGGCUCGGGGGCGGUGAUGCAGCCGGAGCAGGAUGGCCUGUCGAUGGUGGACUGGCAGCGCGUGGAGUACCACUACAACAAGGACAUGCCGCUGAUCUUCGUGGGCGGGGUCCCUCGUAGCGGCACCACCCUCAUGCGGGCCAUGCUGGACGCGCACCCCGAGAUCCGCUGCGGGGAGGAGACCCGCAUCAUCCCGCGUCUGCUGGCCAUGCGCCAGGCCUGGUCCAAGUCCGAGCGGGAGAAGAUGAGGCUGGACGAGGCGGGAGUGACGGACCAGGUGCUGGACUCCGCAGUGCGGGCUUUCAUCCUGGAGGUGAUCGCCCGGCACGGAGAGCCGGCCCAGUACCUCUGCAACAAGGACCCCUUCACCCUCAAGUCCUCCCUCUACCUCUCCCACCUGUUCCCCAACUCCAGGUUCCUGCUGCUGCUCCGCGACGGCCGGGCCUCGGUGCACUCCAUGAUCAGCCGCAAGGUGACCAUCGCCGGCUUCGACCUGAGCAGCUAUCGCGACUGCCUGGUCAAGUGGAACAAGGCAGUGGAGGCCAUGUACUCGCAGUGCCUGCAGGUGGGGCCGUCCCGGUGCAAGCCGGUGCACUACGAGCAGCUGGUGCUGCACCCGCGCAGGUCCAUGCAGGAGAUCAUGCGCUUCCUGGAUAUCCGCUGGGACGAGGCCGUGCUGCACCACGAGGACGCCAUCGGCAAGCCUGGCGGAGUCUCCCUCUCCAAGACCGAGCGCUCCACGGACCAGGUGAUCAAGCCCGUGAAUCUGGAGGCGUUGUCCAAGUGGGUGGGGCACAUUCCUGUGGACGUGUUGAUGGACAUGGCCGAGAUCGCGCCCAUGCUGACCCGGCUCGGGUACGACCCCAACGCCAACCCGCCCAACUACGGCAGCCCGGACCCCCUCGUGGUCAAUAACACUCAGCGGGUAAUGAAGGGAGAUUUUAAAACGCCGGCCAAUUUAAAAGGACAGCAUCAGGUGAGCGAGACCUGUAGCACUGUGAACACAUUUCUGUGUGGGUCUGUGUUUGCACACACUGAUAGAAAACAGCCAGCGCUGUGUUGCAAUAGCAGAUCCCUGCUGCUUCCUUUUCACUGCCAGACGCAAGAAUCGGACAGCCUUUCAAAACCGCAAAUGAAUUAGUCAUCGAUUUUCAUUGGUGGCUCUGGGUUGCUGGUGUGGUUGGUGUUUUUGUUUUUGCUAAUUUGUUUUGGCUCGUCUCUGGCUUGUUAAGUAAUUGUUUUGUUUAUUGAUUGAAAGCUGAACUGAGGCCUGACCUAUUGGAUUUCAUGUAAUUAUUCUUGUCUGUUUCCAGAUGCAGAUACCGUGUCUGUAUUUGUGCUUGCGUGAAUCCAGGCACAGCCUCUGCAGCACACUGCAACGAGAGAAGGCUUUAGCAAGAUAACAAGCCCUGUGAAUUGUGAGAGCCGCGUCUCUCUGUGUCCCGAGGGGAAUGCUCUGCGUGUUGUUCACACUGUCUCAGUAAAGAGCUGUGGGGGGUGGGGGGGUGUUCCUCUCUUAACAGAUUUAAUAUUCCUGCACGUGCUCUCAGCUUCCUGAAGGGGGCGCUCUUCUGAUUGUCCAGGUCAGAUAGGAUGAAGAUGGAAUCUGAUAAUCUUUCCUUCUGUGGUUUGAAAUAUGGUAUUGUGGAAUAGCUUAGAACCUCCUGCCAAUGCUUCUCCCUCAGUCCACAUUAAGAAACACACACCGGUCUUAUUUAUACUGUGCUGCUGAUUUGAGUUUGAACCACACCUGUUUUUAGUGUGUUGUCCGAGCCGGUAAACACUCUCUGUGAGACCCAAGUGGAUCCACUUUAUUGUUUGUUUCUCGUUCCUCAUUAGUAUAAAUCUGCACCUUUGUAAUUAAAUUGCUAGAACAGCGUUUGACUUUAGGAGAUCUGUGAAGCGGGUGGAUGAGGUGGGUGUCAGUGAAACCGUGCGCUCGCUUCAGAACGUCUCUCUCAGAUCUGGAGCUGCAUGGAGGUGCUUGCCCUGGUUUCCUGUGCUGGGCGCUGCUUGAUUUGUGAGCGGAUAGACAGCUCACCACAGGGUUUCUGCAAAGGUGACAAAACCAAACUGACAUCUGAAUGUACCUGGGGGUUGUUUUGGUUUGUUUUUUCAUUGAAUGCAGCCACGCCAUUUUUCAUUUCUUGUUUUUGUUUUUAUAUGUAUUGUUUUAUUUUGCAUAAAUGCUCAUAAACAUAGAUGUUCAGUUGAAUGGAACUGUUUGAAAUGUGCAUCACUGCCCCCUUUAACUAACUCUGAGUCUGAUGCGCAUUUUGCAGGCGUUGCAGAACACAUCAGAGACUCAGCGGUGAAGCGGGGAGGAAGCAGAACACAGAGUCCCGAAUCGCAGUGUCCGAUUCCAGCCGACGUGCAGCCCCGGCCCGGCCCGGCCCGGCCCACAGCACUUCCACGCAGCUGUUUGGAAUAUGUGUUAUUUUUAAUUUCUUUUACUUUUUUUUUUUUUAAUUCAAUCAUCAUGGGAGAGAACCAUCUAUCACAAAGUGGACCAGAGCAGUGAACCAGCGCCUUGUGGACAGAUUUCAAACACCCGUCCUGCCUCUUGCGGAGAGAAGUGUGUGUGUGUGUGCGUGCGCGUGGUGCGUGCGUAGAGGCUGUGCGUGCGUGCGUGCGUGCGUGUGUGAGUAGAGGCUGUGUGCACUCAGAGAGGCAGGAGCCCUGCCUGUGUGCUCUACACUGCACUGCCUUGCGUUUGUGAAGGACUGAUCUGAUUGUGUGGAGACCUCACCUGCCUGUGAGGGUUUUAAAGAUUUUUAUUGUGUACAGUGUUCCUUGUGGGGUUCCCUCCCCUCUCUUCAAUUUAAACCGGGGAGCUCUGAAAGGGGGAGCAUUGUUAAACGGGUGUUUAGGGAAAUCUCAAAAGACUGUAUUGUAUAAAUUUGUAUUAAAAAAAAAAAAGCGAGAAACCUCCGAACCUGAAGGGCUAAGCCAGUCUUUUCUCUUCAGCUGGGCGUCCAGCAGUAAGUAAGAGUAGGUCACCCCUUUGAGAGCUGUGGAACGUUCUCGUGUCACAUGACUGAAGCAGUGCUGCAGGCGUCCUGUCUCAUGAACGCCACUUUCCCUGGAAUGUGUCUGUACUGCUGACAUGCAGACAGACUCUAAUCACAAAACACUGACACUCAUCACCCUGACUUGUGUCUCUCCGGGUCAUCGCAUUACCAGUCGCUUCAGAGAUUGAGACUGCUUGUGUCAAACCCGGGAGGGGCAGUUUUAUCUACCUGGAGAGCAGCAAAGCUGAGGCUGGCCCCCCGCUGAGCUGCUUGGAGACAAUCACCACCUCGACCACCGAUAACCCUGCCUGCAGUUUUGUAUUUUCUUUUUACAUUCCGACUUCGAUUAUAAAUCCUGUAUGGGAAAUCAAUCUAGCACUGUUAAGGAUUUUUCUAAAUUCCAGUAUGUCUUAUUUUGUGUAUAGAUGCCACACAUACAACACGAAUGAGACCUUGUUUGAGGUUAUGGAUCAAAUAAAAUCUUGUUUUGCACUA